rnacentral:rRNA from 1 species
AACGAACGCUGGCGGCAUGCCUAACACAUGCAAGUCGAACGAGACCUCCGGGUCUUGUGGCGCACGGGUGCGUAACGUGUGGGAACCUGCCCUUAGGUUCGGAAUAACUCCCCGAAAGGGGUGCUAAUACCGGAUAAUGUCUUCGGACCAAAGAUUUAUUGCCUUUGGAUGGGCCCGCGUUGGAUUAGCUAGUUGGUAGGGUAAAAGCCUACCAAGGCGACGAUCCAUAGCUGGUCUGAGAGGAUGAUCAGCCACACUGGGACUGAGACACGGCCCAGACUCCUACGGGAGGCAGGAGUGGGGAAUAUUGGACAAUGGGCGAAGGCCUGAUCCAGCAAUGCCGCGUGAGUGAUGAAGGCCUUAGGGUUGUAAAGCUCUUUUACCCGGGAUGAUAAUGACAGUACCGGGAGAAUAAGCUCCGGCUAACUCCGUG